AUUGAACGCUGGCGGCAGGCCUAACACAUGCAAGUCGAGCGGAUGAAAGGGGCUUGCUCCUGGAUUCAGCGGCGGACGGGUGAGUAAUGCGCAGGAAUCUACCUCGUAGUGGGGGAUAACGUCUCGAAAGGGGCGCUAAUACCGCAUACGUUCUGAGGAAGAAAGCAGGGGACCUUCGGGCCUUGCGCUAUGAGAUGAGCUUGCGUCCGAUUAGCUAGUUGGUGGGUAAAGGCCUACCAAGGCGACGAUCGGUAACUGGUCUGAGAGGAUGAUCAGCCACACUGGGACUGAGACACGGCCCAGACUCCUACGGGAGGCAGCAGUGGGGAAUAUUGGACAAUGGGCGCAAGCCUGAUCCAGCAAUGCCGCGUGUGUGAAGAAGGCCUGCGGGUUGUAAAGCACUUUCAGUGGGGAAGAACGGGUCCGGGCCAAUACCCCGGAUCACUGACGUUACCCACAGAAGAAGCACCGGCUAACUCCGUAGCCAGCAGCCG
rnacentral:rRNA from 1 species